ACGCUGAAGGAGGAGCUUGCUUCUCUGGAUGAGUUGCGAACGGGUGAGUAACGCGUAGGUAACCUGCCUGGUAGCGGGGGAUAACUAUUGGAAACGAUAGCUAAUACCGCAUAAUAGUAGAUGUUGCAUGACAUUUACUUAAAAGGUGCAAUUGCAUCACUACCAGAUGGACCUGCGUUGUAUUAGCUAGUUGGUGGGGUAACGGCUCACCAAGGCGACGAUACAUAGCCGACCUGAGAGGGUGAUCGGCCACACUGGGACUGAGACACGGCCCGGACUCCUACGGGAGGCAGCAGUAGGGAAUCUUCGGCAAUGGACGGAAGUCUGACCGAGCAACGCCGCGUGAGUGAAGAAGGUUUUCGGAUCGUAAAGCUCUGUUGUAAGAGAAGAACGAGUGUGAGAGUGGAAAGUUCACACUGUGACGGUAUCUUACCAGAAAGGGACGGCUAACUACGUGCCAGCAGCCGCGGUAAUACGUAGGUCCCGAGCGCUGUCCGGAUUUAUUGGGCGUAAAGCGAGCGCAGGCGGUUAGAUAAGUCUGAAGUUAAAGGCUGUGGCUUAACCAUAGUACGCUUUGGAAACUGUUUAACUUGAGUGCAAGAGGGGAGAGUGGAAUUCCAUGUGUAGCGGUGAAAUGCGUAGAUAUAUGGAGGAACACCGGUGGCGAAAGCGGCUCUCUGGCUUGUAACUGACGCUGAGGCUCGAAAGCGUGGGAGCAAACAGGAUUAGAUACCCUGGUAGUCCACGCCGUAAACGAUGAGUGCUAGGUGUUAGACCCU
rnacentral:rRNA from 1 species